rnacentral:tRNA from 1 species
AAAAAAUUAGUUAAUUUAUAACAUUAGAAUGUCAAACUAAAAUAAUUAUUUGUAUAAUAUUUUUUG